AGGCACUGCGACUGGCCCAAUCCAGUCUUCUUUUUGAGCAAGAAUGAUUUGAUAAGGCUAAAGGCAUAUUCUGACAAAAUAAAUUUUAGGUACUUAUUUUUCCCCCUGGCUAGUGUUGCCACACUACUUUUUUCAAUAACAAGAACAUCACCACAUCUCUAGACUGGUAGUUCUUCAGGAACCUUUUUUUUCACCUACCACGUAGCACAGUGUCUGUUACAUAGUAAGCGCUCAACAAAUGUUCUGUGAACUAAAUUGAAGAUGGCCAAGGACACAAUUCCACACCUCAAUUCUUGAUUAUUCACAAGUGACUCCGGUACAAAUUUUUAAUCCAGAUUGUUUCCUUGUCAUCUAGCCUGCUUCUGAGCCUUCAUCCUA
rnacentral:lncRNA from 10 species